UUGUUUUUCAGGUUCUCUGGUCCGAUUCAGUGGUCUAAGCAAACAUUUCAGCAUUGGGUCUAUGGCGGUGUCAAGGCUGGUGAAUGGGGAGAAUGUCACUGUGGGAGUGGUCAGCUGUCUAGCGAUCUACCCUUGCUACCUGCUGGUUUUCACGCUCUUCAGAAUGAGCUGCAACAAGUGGCAGCUGUAAGUGGCAAUCAUGUCAGCAGCGUUCCCAUUGCUUAAACAAAGACGGUUCUGCUGAGUUGUCCGAGGAAGGAAAAAGAGGAAAGCUCCGCACCACUCUUUCACUUGAGUAUCUUACCUUACCUGGUUAUUUUCAGAUUUCCUUUUGCCCUUAUGUAGCUUUGUCAACUAUGUGUGUGCUUUAUAUACCUGUUCACUCCUCUCCCUGUAGGCUUUACAGAUGCUCCCCACCCCUUGGAUGCAACCAUUCUAAUCGGCACCGUUUGGAACUGCUGAUCUGUGGUCAAGAAUGCUGAGAUGAUCUCAGCCUAUGCUACCAUUCAGUCUCUAUACAUUUUGGCCCUGACAGAAACAUGUAUCACCCCAGAGAACACUGCUACUCCAGCUGAUCUCUCUUCAUCUAACUACGUGUUCUCUCAUGACACUCAACUACUGUCCCCCCCCCAUUGUGAUUGUGGCACAGGGCUACUCACUCACUCACUCACUCACUCACUCACUCACCAUCUCUUCAUUUGAAUUCCAUGCUGCCACUGUCACUUGUCAUUUAUCACCCACCAGGUGCCCUUUGCGAGUUCGUCAAUGAGAUUGACACCUUGAUAAACUAAUUUCCCGAUGGCUCAUCGUUCCGGGCGACUUCAACCUCCCAACGUCUGCCUUCGAUUCCUUUCUUUCCGCCUCUUUCGACCCGACCCUUUCCCAGUUCCCUCACACUCACAAGGCAGGCAAUUCACUUGACCUCAUCUUUACUAGAGGCUGUUCACCUACGAAUCUCACUGGAACUUAAUCCAGGUCUCUGAUCACUACUUUGUUUCCUUUUCUGUCUCCCUCCCCUCCAACCUUACCCACUCAGCCCCUACCCAGAUGGUCAAGUGCCAUCGUCAACUUUACUUUCUCUCUCCCACUACUCUCUCCCCUUCUAAAUCCUCCUGAUUUUGCCUCUUCGACCCUACUCUCCUCCCUUUCUGCAUCCCAUGACUUGCAUUGUUCUCUUUCCAUGCAGUCAGCUCGUGGCUGAGUGACCCUCAGACUUCAAAAUGGCCAGAGUUGCUCCCCUCCACAAGCAACCAACACUUGACCACUCUGACGUCAAAAACUACAGACCGGUAUGCCUUUAUUUUCUUUCCAAAACACUUGAUCAUGCUGUGUCUGACCAACUCUCUCGCCAUUGCUCUCAGAAUUAUCUUUUUGACCCUAGCCCAUCAGGCUUUAAGACAGCUCACCUAAUCGAGACUGCUCUCUUCUGUGUCACGGAGGCUUUCCGCACUGCCAAAGCUGACUCUCUCACCUUCGUUCUCAUCCUCCUAGAUCUAUCUGUUGUCUUCGACACCAUGAACCAUCAGAUUCUUCUCUCCACCCUCUCAGGGCUGGGUGUCUCAGGCUCUGCACUCUUGGAUUGCAUCCAAACUCUCACUACUGGUAUCCCCUAGGGCUCGGUUCAAGGCCCUCCCCUCUUUUCUCUCCAUACACCAAGCCACUCGGCUCUGUCAUAUCCUUCCAUGGUCUCUCCUAUCAUAGCUAUGUGGAUGACACUCAACUACUGUCCCCCCCCCCCCGUCUGACACACAGGAUGUGAUACGGAUCUCUGCAUGCCUUGCAGAUAUCUCAGCUUGCAUGUCAGUCCACCACCUCAAGUUCAACCUCGACAAGACAGAGCUGCCUUUCCUCCUGGGGAAGGCCUAUUCGCUCCAAGACCUCUCCAUCACGGUUGACAACUCCACAGUGUCACCCUCCCAGAGUGCAAAUAACCUUGGCGUGACCCUGGGCAACAGCAAACAUCAAAGCAGUGACUCGCCUCUGCCGGUUCAUGCUCUACAACAUCCAUGGAGUAUGAGCAUACCUCACAAAGGAAGCAGCGCAGGUCCUAAUCCAGGCACUUGUCAUCUCCCUUCUGGACUACUGCAACUCAUGGUUGACUGUGCUCCCCGCUUGUGCCAUCAAACCCUGAAAUUUAUCCAGAACGCCAAAGCCCGCCUAGUGUUCGACCUUCCCAAGUUCUCCCAUGUCACCCCACUCCUCUGCUCCUCCACUGGCUUCCAUUCAAAUCUCCAGGACCAUGGUACUUGCCUACAGAGCAGCAAGAGGAACUGCCCUUCCCUACCUUCAAGCUAUACUCAAACCCUCCACACCAACCCGAGUACUCUGUUCUGCCACAUCUUGUCUCUUGGCCCUUCCACACUGACAAGAAGAUAGCACCUGCUCAGCCCAGUCAAAUCUCUUCUCUGUCCUGGCAUCCCAAUGGUGGAACCAGCUUUCCCCUGAAUCUAGGUCAGCACAGUCCCUGCCACAGUCCUAGCCCAUCAAAAUCAGCUGGAUUUUGCAUUUGUUGUCCACUAUAAAACUAGAUGUUUUACCUACAUCAGGUAUCUCAGUGUGUGCUGUUAUUCAUUAAAAUGCUAUCACUUGUACGCUUUUCACACUAUUGUGCUGAACCAAACAGUUCUGCGGUCACACUUUUCUUUUCACAAUAUCUUAUUCAACAGAGCUCCAGCAACUGUGGUGUAUGAAAAACCAAGCCAGUAUUUGGCUUGGCUUAGUAGCAUAAGAAGGGUACUACUGUAGACACUGUGUUCAACAGAGAUUAUUUUGUUUCACAGAAAGAGUCAGAAUUCUUUUCAGGCUAGAUUUGAUAAGCAGUGAAAUAAGUGGUAUCUUGGUGAUGAUUGUGUGUCUCUCUCUCACGCAGGCACACACACACACAACCUGGAAAUAAUGAUAAUGACACAGACACCACGCACACAUACAAACCCAACUUACUGUGCACAGUGUAUCUGAUGUGUCCCAAAUGGCAUUGAAUUCCCUACAUAAUGCACUACUUUUGACCAGAGUCCUAUGGGACCUGGUCAAGAGUGUGCCGUUUGGGAUGCAGGCUGCCUCUCAUUGUCAUGACAGUCCCUGAUUAGAAGAAGUAAUUAACAUGUCAGGUUUAAUUUCUCAUGCUGUGCUGUGUGAGUUUGUGUGUGUGCAUGGGUCUCAUUAGAGAGAGGGAGUGGUAGGCUACAUGGUUGUUUCCAUCCCGGACUGUGUUUGCACAAGCACACACAGAUGUCCGUACACAUGCACGCCUGCACACACACAAACACCAGAGCUGUGGCUGCCUGGAAUCCUGUGUGAGAACAUUGCAUUUAGAGCAGUUUAAACACAACCUCUCCCUACUGCUGCUAGCAGGUCUCCCAGGAUUAUUGUAAACAAAAUCAAUGCUCUCAGCGCCUAAAGCUAUCUGUAGCAGAUUGCAACGCCAGCCUCAUUUUUACAUUACACAGAAACAGAGACUACAGAGCUCUGGGGAUGGAUCUUAACACAGAUGUACGCAUCUAUAGUUGUACAGUGUCUUCAUCUUCCUGAUGAUUUCAUAUGCAUUAAUACCACUGCUAUCUGCAUGAUACAGAGCAUCCCCUUCUCCCACACCACUGAUUCUUCUCCCUCUAUGGCCCCUCAUGAUAAGAUAUGUACAGUGCAUUCUGAAAGUAUUCAUUGACUUUUUCCACAUUUUGUAAUGUUUUCUAAAAUUGAUUUAAUAGUUUUCUCGUCAUCAAUCUACACACAAUACCCCAUAAUGACAUUUUUGCAAAUGUAUAAAAUAAAAAAACUGAAAUAUCACAUUAACAUAUGUAUUCAUGCCCUUUACGCAUUACUUUGCUGAAACACCUUAGGCAGCGAUUACAGCCUUGAGUCUUCUUCGGUAUGAUGCUACAUGCUUUGGCACACCUGUAUUUGAGGAGUUUCUCCUGUUCUUCUCUAACAGGAAGUGUCGCUACACAGCUAUUUUCAGGUCUCUCCAGAGAUGUUUGAUCGGGUUCAAGUCUGUGCUCUGGUUGGGCCACUCUAGGACAUUCAGAGACUUGUGCCGAAACCACUCCUGUGUUGUCUUGGCUGUGUGCUUAGGGUCAUUGUCCGGUUGGAAGUUGAAUCUUCGCCCCUCGAUACUGACUAGUCUCCCAGUCUCUGCCGCUGGAAAACAUCCCCACAACAAGAUGCUGCCAGCACCAUGCUUCACCGAAGGAAUGGUGCCAGGUUUCCUCCAGAUGUGACGCUUGGCAUUCAUGCCAGAGUUCAAUCUUGGUUCCUUUUGUCAUGUGCCUUUUACUGAAGAGUGGCUUCUGUCUGGCCACUCCACCAUAAAGGCCUGGUUGGUGGAGUGCUGUGGAGUUGGUUGUCCUUCUGGAGUUUCUCCCAUCUCCACAGAGGAACAUCGGGUUCUUCCUGACCAAGGCCCUUCUCCUCCGAUUGCUCAGUUUGGCCGGGCAGCCAGCUCUAGGAAGAGUCUUGGUGGUUAUGAACUUCUUCCAUUUAAGAAUUAAUGUUCUUGGGGACCUUCAAUGCUGCAUACAUUUUUUUGGUACCCUUCCCCAGAUUUAUGCCUCGACACAAUCCUGUCUCGGAGCUCUACGGACAAUUACUUUGACCUCAUGGUUUGGCUUUUGCUCUGGCAUGCACUGUCAACUGUGGGACCUUAUAUAGACAGGUGUGUGCCUUUCCAAAUCAUGUCCAAUCAAUUGAAUUUACCACAGGUGGACUCCAAUCAAUUUGUAGAAACAUCUCAAGGAUGAUCAAUGGAAACAGGAUGCACCUGAGCUCAAUUUUGAGUCUCAUAACAAAGGGUCUGAAUACCUAUGUACAUAAGUUUUUAUUUGAUUUUUUAUAUACAUUUGGCACUUUCCGAAUGCACUGUAUGUGAUAAAGUGAAAAUCUAUAUGUUUCUGCUUAUAAUUUCCAACAUUUUGGUAGGCUAUUUGUUAGUCAGGUAUAUAUCUCUCUAGUCACCCCCAAAACCAAUUCUUUCUUUGGCCGCCUCUCCUUCCAGUUCUCUGCUGCCAAUGACUGGAACGAACUACAAAAAUCUCUGAAACUGGAAACACUUAUCUCCCUCACUAGCUUUAAGCACCAACUGUCGGAGCAUCUUACAGAUUACUGCACCUGUACAUAGCCCACCUAUAAUUUAGCCCAAACAACUACCUCUUUCCCAACUGUAUUUAAUUUAUUUAUUUAUUUUGCUCCUUUGCACCCCAUUAUUUUUGUUUCUACUUUGCACAUUCUUCCAUUGCAAAACUACCAUUCCAGUGUUUUACUUGCUAUAUUGUAUUUACUUUGCCACCAUGGCCUUUUUUGCCUUUACCUCCCUUCUCACCUAAUUUGCUCACAUUGUAUAUAGACUUGUUUAUACUGUAUUAUUGACUGUAUGUUUGUUUUACUCCAUGUGUAACUCUGUCGUUGUAUCUGUCAAACUGCUUUGCUUUAUCUUGGCCAGGUUGCAAUUGUAAAUGAGAACUUGUUCUCAACUUGCCUACCUGGUUAAAUAAAGGUGAAAUAAAUAAAAAAAUA